UACGUAGGUGGCAAGCGUUAUCCGGAUUUACUGGGUGUAAAGGGAGCGUAGACGGCUAAGCAAGUCUGAAGUGAAAGCCCGGGGCUUAACCCCGGGACUGCUUUGGAAACUGUUAAGCUAGAGUGCUGGAGAGGUAAGUGGAAUUCCUAGUGUAGCGGUGAAAUGCGUAGAUAUUAGGAGGAACACCAGUGGCGAAGGCGGCUUACUGGACAGUAACUGACGUUGAGGCUCGAAAGCGUGGGGAGCAAACA
rnacentral:rRNA from 1 species